ACAGCCUACCGAAGUGGAAAAUGAAAACCAUGAGUAUCUGAAAUCUUCAUGGUCUUCAUUUUCUACUUCGUAUGACUGU
rnacentral:pre_miRNA from 1 species